GAAAUGCGAUAAUUAAUGUGAAUUGCAGAAUUCAGUGAAUCAUCGAGUCUUUGAACGCACAUUGCGCCCCCUGGUAUUCCGGGGGGCAUGCCUGUCCGAGCGUCAUUGCUGCCCUCAAGCACGGCUUGUGUAUUGGGCUUCCGUCCCUGGCAACGGGGACGGGCCCAAAAGGCAGUGGCGGCACCAUGUCUGGUCCUCGAGCGUAUGGGGCUUUGUCACCCGCUCCCGUAGGUCCAGCUGGCAGCUAGCCUCGCAACCAAUCUUUUUAACCAGGUUGACCUCGGAUCAGGUAGGGAUACCCGCUGAACUUAAGC
rnacentral:misc_RNA from 1 species